ACGAACGCUGGCGGCGUGCCUAAUACACGCAAGUCGAACGCUUCUUUCCUCCCGAGUGCUUGCACUCAAUUGGAAAGAGGAGUGGCGGACGGGUGAGUAACACGUGGGUAACCUACCCAUCAGAGGGGGAUAACACUUGGAAACAGGUGCUAAUACCGCAUAACAGUUUAUGCCGCAUGGCAUAAGAGUGAAAGGCGCUUUCGGGUGUCGCUGAUGGAUGGACCCGCGGUGCAUUAGCUAGUUGGUGAGGUAACGGCUCACCAAGGCCACGAUGCAUAGCCG
rnacentral:rRNA from 1 species